UACGUAGGGGGCAAGCGUUGUCCGGAUUUACUGGGCGUAAAGGGCGCGUAGGCGGCGCGGUAAGUCACUUGUGGAAUCUCUGAGCUUAACUCAGAACGGCCAAGUGAUACUGCAGUGCUAGAGUGUGGAAGGGGCAAUCGGAAUUCUUGGUGUAGCGGUGAAAUGCGUAGAUAUCAAGAGGAACACCUGAGGUGAAGACGGGUUGCUGGGCCAACACUGACGCUGAGGCGCGAAAGCCAGGGGAGCAAACGGG
rnacentral:rRNA from 1 species